rnacentral:rRNA from 1 species
AAUUUUAAUAUUGCAUAUUAUUUUAAGAAAAUUUUAUGGUUUAUAAAAUAUAGAAUUAAAAGGUAGAAAAAUUAAAAAUUUUAUUGUUAUAUAAUAAAAAGUAUAAUUUUUAGAGUUGAAAAGUCGACUUUUAGGAUAUCUGUUUAUUUAAAUUUUAUUAGAAAUUUAUAAAUUAAAUUUGAAUUGUUUUGUUUAUAAGAAUAAAAGUUAAAGUAUUUUUAUUUUUAGUUUUAUAACUAUUUAUAUUUUAAUAAUUGAAUGUGAUUAAAAUUGAUAAUUUUAUUAAGAUUAUAAUAAAUGUAUUAUUUAAAAAUUAGUAAUUGGAAUUAAUUUAAUUCUUAUAUUAAAUAUAAUAAAAUAACUAAAUGAUUAAUCAAAUGUUUAUUAAAAACUUAGACUUUUAAAUAAAGUUUGCUUCUGCUCGAUGAAUUAUUUUAAAUGGCAGUCUUAGCGUGAGGACAUUAAGGUAGCAAAAUAAUUUGUGCUUUUAUUGGGUUCCAGUAUGAAUGAAGUUAUUGGUUAAUUAUUUUUUUAUUUUUUAAAUGAAUUUGUGAUUAAUAUAAAAAAAUAUUAGUAUAAUAAUACAAAGAUAAGUCUUCGGAAAUUCAUUUUUAUAAAUAAUAAUUUUUUUAUUAUUUGUAAAAAUUUUCUAGGGCAGAAUAUUAUAUAAUUUUAAAAAUCUAUAAUUAAAAUUAAGAAUUACUCCGGAGUUAACAGAAAAUCAUACCUAAUCUAGUUCUUAUAGUAGGGUAAGUUUUACAUCGAUGUUGUAUUUAAGUUGAUUAAAAAAAGGAGAAAUUUUAAAUUUUAAGACUGUUCUUCUUUAAAUUAAUUUAACGUGAUAUUAGUUUAAUUCAUCGUGAGAUAGAAUUGUUUAUCUUGAUUAUUAUUUUUUAUAAAUUUUAAUAGUACGAAAGGAAAAUUAAAAAAAGUUAGUAACUUUAUAAGAGUUUACUCUU